rnacentral:rRNA from 1 species
GACGAACGCUGGCGGUGUGCUUCACACAUGCAAGUCGAACGAGGUAGCAAUACCUAGUGGCGGACGGGUGAGUAACGCGUGGGAAUCUGCCUUUAGAUGGGGGAUAACGGGUCGAAAGACUCGCUAAUACCGCAUAUGACGAAAGUUGAAAGGAGUAAUCCGUCUAAAGAUGAGCCCGCGUCCGAUUAGCUAGUUGGUAGAGUAAAAGCCUACCAAGGCGACGAUCGGUAGCUGGUCUGAGAGGAUGAUCAGCCAACAAAUGGGACUGAGACACGGCCCAUACUCCUACGGGAGGCAGCAGUGGGGAAUUUUACGCGAAUGGGCGAAAGCCUGACGUAGCGACACCGCGUGAGCGAAGAAGCCCCUUGGGGUGUAAAGCUCUGUCAGCUGGAACGAAAAAAAUGACGGUACCAGCAGAGGAAGCAUCGGCUAACUACGUG